GACGAACGCUGGCGGCGUGCCUAAUACAUGCAAGUAGAACGCUGAAGACUUUAGCUUGCUAAAGUUGGAAGAGUUGCGAACGGGUGAGUAACGCGUAGGUAACCUGCCUACUAGCGGGGGAUAACUAUUGGAAACGAUAGCUAAUACCGCAUAACAGCAUUUAACCCAUGUUAGAUGCUUGAAAGGAGCAAUUGCUUCACUAGUAGAUGGACCUGCGUUGUAUUAGCUAGUUGGUGAGGUAACGGCUCACCAAGGCGACAAUACAUAGCCGACCUGAGAGGGUGAUCGGCCACACUGGGACUGAGACACGGCCCAGACUCCUACGGGAGGCAGCAGUAGGGAAUCUUCGGCAAUGGGGGCAACCCUGACCGAGCAACGCCGCGUGAGUGAAGAAGGUUUUCGGAUCGUAAAGCUCUGUUGUAAGAGAAGAACGUGUGUGAGAGUGGAAAGUUCACACAGUGACGGUAACUAC
rnacentral:rRNA from 1 species